GACGAACGCUGGUGGCGUGCUUAACACAUGCAAGUCGAACGGGAUUUAGUAAACAGACGCCUCGGUGGAAGAUUACUAAUGAGAGUGGCGAACGGGUGAGUAACGCCUGAGCAACCUGCCUAUGACAGUGGGAUAGCCUCGGGAAACCGGGAUUAAUACCGCAUAAAAUCGUAGAAACACAUGUUUUAACGGUCAAAGAUUUAUCGGUCAUAGAUGGGCUCGCGUCUGAUUAGCUAGUUGGUGAGAUAACAGCCCACCAAGGCGACGAUCAGUAGCCGGUCUGAGAGGAUGAGCGGCCACACUGGAACUGAGACACGGUCCAAACUCCUACGGGAGGCAGCAGUGGGGAAUAUUGCACAAUGGGGGAAACCCUGAUGCAGCGACGCCGCGUGAACGAAGAAGGUAGUGGUAUCGUAAAGUUCUGUCCUAUGGGAAGAUAAUGACAGUACCAUAGAAGAAAGCUCCGGCUAAAUACGUG
rnacentral:rRNA from 1 species